GUCUGCUUCAACGGCACAUUUACAGAAAUCGGAAUGAUACAGAGACUAGCAUGGCCCCUGCCUAAGAGUGACGUGUAAAUUCAUGAAGCAGUCCAUAUUUUU